rnacentral:rRNA from 1 species
CCUACGUGGUGCAGCAGUGGGGACUAUUGGGCAAUGGGCGCAAGCCUGACCCAGCAACGCCGCGUGACUGAAGAAGGCUUUCGGGUUGUAAACUUCUUUUAUUGAGGACGAAACAAAUGACGGUACUCAAUGAAUAAGCCACGGCUAACUACGUGCCAGCAGCCGCGGUAAUACGUAGGUGGCAAGCGUUAUCCGGCUUUACUGGGUGUAAAGGGCGUGUAGGCGGGACUGCAAGUCAGAUGUGAAACCCAUGGGCUGAACCCAUGGCCUGCAGUUGGAACUGUAGUUAUUGAGUGAUGGAGAGGUAGGCGGAAUUCCGGGUGUAGCGGUGAAAUGCGUAGAUAUACGGAGGAACACCAGUGGCGAAGGCGGCCUGCUGGACAUUAACUGACGCUGAGGCGCGAAAGCGUGGGGAGCAAACAGGAUUAGAUACCCUUGUAGUC